GACGAACGCUGGCGGCGUGCUUAACACAUGCAAGUCGAACGGAAAGGCCCUGCUUUUGUGGGGUGCUCGAGUGGCGAACGGGUGAGUAACACGUGAGUAACCUGCCCUUGACUUUGGGAUAACUUCAGGAAACUGGGGCUAAUACCGGAUAGGAGCUCCUGCUGCAUGGUGGGGGUUGGAAAGUUUCGGCGGUUGGGGAUGGACUCGCGGCUUAUCAGCUUGUUGGUGGGGUAGUGGCUUACCAAGGCUUUGACGGGUAGCCGGCCUGAGAGGGUGACCGGCCACAAUGGGACUGAGAUACGGCCCAGACUCCUACGGGGGGCAGGAGUGGGGAAUAUUGCACAAUGGGCGGAAGCCUGAUGCAGCAACGCCGCGUGCGGGAUGACGGCCUUCGGGUUGUAAACCGCUUUCGCCUGUGACGAAGCGUGAGUGACGGUAAUGGGUAAAGAAGCACCGGCUAACUACGUG
rnacentral:rRNA from 1 species